rnacentral:misc_RNA from 1 species
GAUGAAGAACGUAGCGAAAUGCGAUAAGUAAUGUGAAUUGCAGAAUUCAGUGAAUCAUCGAAUCUUUGAACGCACCUUGCGCUCCUUGGUAUUCCGAGGAGCAUGCCUGUUUGAGUGUCAGUAAAUUCUCAAUCCCCCACUAGCUUUUGCAGUUGGGGCUUGGAUAUUGGAGGUAUUUGCAGGCCCUUUUUUGAAAGGUGUCAGCUCCUCUGAAAUGUAUUAGCGGAACCGUUUGCAAUCCGUCACAGGUGUGAUAGUUAUCUACACCCAGUGGGCUGCUUUCUGAUUGUUCAGCUUCCAACCGUCCUCGUUGUGGGACAACUACUGAAAUUUUGACCUCAAAUCAGGUAGGACUACCCGCUGAACUUAAGCAUAUCAAUAAGCGGAGGA